rnacentral:rRNA from 1 species
CCUACGGGUGGCAGCAGUGAGGAAUAUUGGUCAAUGGCCGGGAGGCUGAACCAGCCAAGUCGCGUGAGGGAAGACGGCCCUACGGGUUGUAAACCUCUUUUGUCAGGGAGCAAGGUGCAGGACGGGACCAGCGGUGAGAGUACCGGAAGAAAAAGCAGCGGCUAACUCCGUGCCAGCAGCCGCGGUAAUACGGAGGAUGCGAGCUUUAUCCGGAUUUAUUGGGCUUAAAGGGGGCGCAGGCGGAGGCACAAGUCAGCGGUAACAUCGCGGGGCUCACCCCCGCUCCGCCGUUGAAACUGUGUCCCUUGAGUGCGCGAAGGUUAGGCGGAAUGCGUGGUGUAGCGGU